rnacentral:tRNA from 1 species
ACCUGCUAGCUCAGUUGGUCGCGCAUGGGAUGCUUGAUCUCAGGAUUGUGGGUUUGAGCCCCACGCUAGGCA